GCCCGGGAGAGCUCACUUUAAGUGAUAUUUAUUUUCAGGUAGUGAUAAUUUGUGAGCACGUUUCCUUUAAUUGAGCCCUCGAAUUAAUAAAACGUGAGCACGUUUUAUUUUAAUUGAGUCCUCGAAUUAAUAAAACGUGAGCACGUUUUAUUUUAAUUGAGCCCUCGAAUUGAUAAAACGUGAACACGUUUUCAUUUAAUUGAGCACUCGAAUUAAUAAAACGUGAGCACAUUUUCUUUUAAUUGAGUCCUAAAUCUCGCUCACAUUUAGUCAUUUCCGACAUGCUCUCACCGCUGCUCUCACUGCUGCUGCCUGUCGCAACUUCUGUUACUCAAGCUGUUGAGAUUCGGCUAUUGUCUGCAACAUUACAGUUCAACAUUGCAGGGUCACCUGUGGUGUCCCGCCAGCUAUGGAGCCGACUGCUGAUAGCCUGAGGGACUUCUUGAAAGAUAGAGGUGUCAGCGAAGAGUUUAUUCAGAAACUCGAAAACGAAAAGAUUGAUCCAUCUGUGAUACCACUAAUGAGUGAUGGUGACUUGGCAGAGUACAUUCCUAAAUCAGGGGACCGAAUAGCUGUGGUGGCCUUUUGUAGGCGAUCCAGCACAGCCAGUAAUUCAAGAAGAGACCAUAUACUGACUCGACUGCGCCGAAGACUAUCAGCACCAGGUGUGAAGCCUUCAAAAAAUUCAACUUGGAUUGGGAAUAAGAAUGCAGAAAAAAGAGAGAGGCGGAUUGAAUUAGGAUGGAUGGAUUUUGAUUCUAAGCAACAGCAGUACAAGCAGGUGAAGGCCAUUAAAGGUGGAGGAACUAGACAUUUGACCAUUGAUAAAAACCUAACAGUGGAGGAAGUAAGGGUCAUGGCAGAAAAUAUUUUUUUUCCAGAUGGGGCAUCAAAGAACAAAAAGCUCUCAUGUUACCAUUCUGAAAUUCAGUCGUCACAGAUUGAAGUGGAGAUAUCAAGCACUAUUGAGCAACUGUACAACCUCAGUCGUGUUCGAAUACUACGACUGUAUCUCUGCACCAAGUUAAGGGAUGUACA